rnacentral:lncRNA from 1 species
CUCUGUCAGAGAGUCCAGGUCCUGUCCUACAACAUGGCCUUAUGUGAUAGACGUGUGUGCCGCGUCUCCAUGGAGACUCUGAGACCAGUUUAAUGUUUACAGACAAUGAGGAAGUGAACUCUGAUCGCAGGCGUUUGCAGUGUCGGUCCUCUGAGGGUCAGACGGAGGGACCUGAACGGACCGUGGUCUGCUGCCUGUGGAGAUGAAGGUGGAGGAGAAGCUGGAGGUGAAGGUGGAGCUGCUGAAGUUCUGCUUGGCAGUCUUUAACACCGUGUUUCUGAGGAGCUGCAGGUGGUGUCCGUGGGCCUGCUGGUGAUCGGUGGUGUUGGCGGUCAGCGUGGCAGCGACCUGUGAGAUCAGGUUCCUACUGCUGACGGGCUGUAGUCAGACGUUCAGUGAUUGGCUGCAGGAGAACUCCCUGACCAUCAUCGCCAUGGACGUCGCCCUGCAGUUACUGCAGGUAGUAACACUGCACUGCCUGCAGAGGGUGCAAACACACCUUUGUCACAGUCUGAGGGUUUUUAUGUGUCUUCACUGAGUCACCAGCAGAUCACUUUGACGUGUCAGCACUUCCUGUCUGCUUCUGAUUGGAUGGUUUUGAAUCAACAUGGCUGCCUGUUUGUGGUUAUAUGACAUAAAUAUUUAUUAAGGGUGAAGAAGAAGGAAGAUCAGCGCAGCUCUGUAUCUGUUAGUAGAUGAGGUACUGAGGUAGGUACUGAGACCAAGCAGCAGAAACUGCAUUUCCUCCAGUGUCCACUAGACGCUGUCUCAUACGGUGAGUCUGGAUGGUAACCUUAUGUUACUCUAGCUCCAUCACACUGAGUGUUUCCGCCUCUCUGCAGGUGGUGCUGUUCGUCAUGGUGGUGUAUCUGUACCGUGCAUUUGGAGAAGGCCGCGCUCUGAAACGGACCGAUCUGCUGGCUGGCAGAGACCACGCCCCCACCGAUGACCUGGGGGAGCUGAACUACGCCUACAAUGACCAGGGUGUGUCGUGUCCUCACAGGGUAUACCCCGCCUCUCACCCAAAGCUAGCUAGGCUAGGCUCCAGCCCCUCGUGACCCUCCACUGCAG